GGGCGGGUAGCGUAGUGGUCAGCGCAUUCCUAAGCGUUUCAGCGUUUUUGUGUUUUCUUCAUCAUCUUCUCUCUCCAGCGUUUAGCGAAAAGACCUGGGUUCGAAUCCCAGCCCGCCCA